AAUCAACGCUGGCGGCGUGCCUCAGACAUGCAAGUCGAACGCGAAAGUCCCCUUCGGGGGACAAGUAGAGUGGCGCACGGGUGAGUAACACGUAGGUAAUCUACCUUCGGAUGGGGAAUAACAACCGGAAACGGUUGCUAAUACCGCAUAAUGCAGCGGCACCUAAUGGUGACAGUUGUUAAAGCGGGGGAUCGAAAGACCUCGCGUCUGAAGAGGAGCCUGCGGCGGAUUAGCAGUUGGUAAGGUAAUGGCUUACCAAGGCGACGAUCCGUAGCCGGCCUGAGAGGGGCGGUCGGCCACACUGACACUGACAUACGGGUCAGACUCCUACGGGAGGCAGCAGUCGGGAA
rnacentral:rRNA from 1 species